CCUGCUUUCACGGACGCGCCCGAGAAAUCUCUCCAGGACUUUCACCCGGGAGGGCGGAGGACCAGGCCACACGUGGGCGCUUCCACAUUUUGCAGGCUGGAAGCAUCCUGAAGUCCUCCCUGGACCUUGUCAGUGUGAAAAGAGGCGUCCUCAAGCAGACCAGGGUGGCGAAAGCACCAAGGAAAUUAUGACAGAGAAAGAGAAGGAACAGAGGAGAAGAGAAAGAGAAGGAACAGAGGAGAAGAGAACGAGAAGGCUCGUGUGGCUGUCAAUGAAGUGCUGUGCCCUGGGAGACUGUAGUGGAAAUGGGGGUGGGGAGGUGUGAAAAGUCCCUGAGGGACGCUGGGUGGAGGGCUGAGGAGAAAUCAGGCCGCCUAGAAGAGCCGGAAAGCCCAGCAGGGGGACCCGGGGGCCGUUCCCAACAGGUGACUUCUGCCCUGGAAGAAGACACUGGUUCUCGGCUUCCCAUAGAGUCUCCGCGUAGAUUUACUAAUAGAGGGAUUGUUAAGUGGCAGCGAGGCGUUUCCUACUCACCCUGUGCAGCCGAGGAGGAGAAACGCAGAGGUUUCCCCAGUCCACCUCCUCCCCCACCCCCAACACACCCUCUCCUUAAGGAAACCUGACAAAG
rnacentral:lncRNA from 10 species